UACAAAGAUUGUCCUUGGUUGAUCUGUCUGGUGGUUCAACUGGCUCAAAAGAUUUGUUUUAUGUGACCUAAUUCAGAACUCACCUAGCACUAAGGCCACUAGCUGGGGGGUUUUGGUCAAAAACAUUUACAGUUUCAGGAGGAAGCUGCAAAGAGGAAAAAACAAGAAGUGGUUAGAACCAACUAGGCCCAAGAUGGCGGAGGAUCUGACUUCCACUAGACCUUGAGUCCAUCAGGUAAAUGAACCCAUCAAGUAAAUGAACCCAUCAGAUAUUUACUCAGACUUCACAGAUAAGGCAACUGAGGCUAAUAGAAGGUAAGUAAUUUGACCAAAUUCACACAGCUGGUGAGCAGCUGUCAUCUAAGCUGUGUAGGAAUAGAAGGCAUUAAUCUGAGUCCCGAGGUUGAAGGGAAAUGUUCAAGAUCAUCCUGUCGGAUAAAGUCAGAGCCAAGAUUACCAUUCAGAGCUUCUAUAUAUGUUUCCGAGCCUGUUUUUCCAUUUGCCUAACAGGGAUAAUAAUAGUCCUAUCACAAAAGAUUGGGGGAGAAUAUGGGAAUGGGACAUAGGCUAGAAUGUAUGAGGACAUAACCAAGAGAACGAGAUGAGAGGAAAUCAAAGACAAAGCCUUUGGACUUCAGAAUUUGGCCUGGAGUUUACCUGUCCAGCAGGCAGGCAGG